rnacentral:tRNA from 1 species
GCGCCUGUAGCUCAAUGGAUAGAGCGCAUCGCUUCGGACGAUGAGGUUGCGGGUUCAACUCCUGCCAGGCGCG